rnacentral:rRNA from 1 species
AUAAAUAAGCGGAGGAAAAGAAACCAAAUGGAAUUCCCUUAGUAACGGCGAGCGAACAGGGAAUAGCCCAGCGCCAAGUCUUGAUGCUUAACGUAUUCAAGAGAUGCGGCGUUAGUGUGCUGGUGUAUCGCGUGUUGCUUUGAGACUUGAAUUCUUUUGACAAAGAUUCCAAAGUGGGUGCUAGGCCCAUAAAGUGUACAAAGCUGACACGCGCAAACCAGUGCAUUCAAGAGUCAGGUUGCUUGAGAGUGCAGCCUAAAUUGGGUGGUAAACUUCAUCUAAGGCUAAAUAUUACAGCGAGACCGAUAGCAAACAAGUACUGUGAAGGAAAGUUGCAAAGAACUUUGAAGAGAGAGUUCAACAGGACGUGAAACCACUGGCAGGUAAACAGGUGGAACCACGAAGUGUUCUGAUGAGCGAUUCAACUAGAAUGGCAGUUUAGUUUAACUUGAAUGUUGGGUCUUUGCGGAGGCUGUUCAAGUUGAACUUGCAAAUUGUCAUUCUGGUGCAUUUCGUAUUGUCAGUGUAACGCCACGUCUGACUAGAUGACUGGAAUGGUUGUAGUACGCAUGUUUAACGAAGGUGAUUGUGCAAGUUCUUGAAUUUGUGCAAUGUUAUAGCGUUGAACGCGUUCCAUUACCUAGUGUACUGGUCAGUCACAAGUGCUGCUCUAUUGCAGUAAUGCCAGCAAUGAUUGUGCGUGUAUUGUGUUUGAUUGUAAGUUGCUUGGUUAAUUUUUGCCUUCUUCGUGAUGGUUAAAAAUUAGUCUAGUAAAGUGCAAUCAGGUGCAUUUUUUACAUGGUACGAUUGUAUGCAAACUGUGGUGUAGUAGGUCGGUGUCCACCUGACCCGUCUUGAAACACGGACCAAGGAGCCUAACAUGUACGCAAGUCGCUCGGUCUUGAAUAGGCCWGAGAGGCGUAAUGAAAGUAAAGCUAUGACAUUUGACGGAAACGUUAAAUUGCAAUAGCAGCCCGCCUAUUAUGUUUAUUGGCAUUAUGGCGGAGCUGGAGCGUAUACGUUGGUACCCGAAAGAUGGUGAACUAUGCCUGGGCAGGAUGAAGCCAGAGGAAACUCUGGUGGAAGUCUGCAGCGAUUCUGACGUGCAAAUCGAUCGUCAGACCUGGGUAUAGGGGCGAAAGACUAAUCGAACCAUCUAGUAGCUGGUUCCCUCCGAAGUUUCCCUCAGGAUAGCAGGCGCUUGGAUGCUCAGUUUCAUCCGGUAAAGCUAAUGAUUAGAGGUCUUGGGAUCGAAACGAUUUCAACCUAUUCUCAAACUUUAAAUGGGUGAGAUGCUUGACUUGCUUAAUUUGAAGCCAAGCAUUUUGAAUGUAAUAGUGCCUAGUGGGCCAGCUUUGGUAAGCAGAACUGGCGCUGUGGGAUGAACCAAACGUCAAGAUAAGGCAUCAAAUGCGCACGCUCAUCAGAUCCCAGAAAAGGUGUUGGUUUUUAUAGACAGCAGGACGGUGGCCAUGGAAGUCGGAAUCCGCUAAGGAGUGUGUAACAACUCACCUGCCGAAAAAACUAGCCCUGAAAAUGGACGAUGCUGUAGCGUGGAGCCGAUACUUGACCGUAGAUGAACAUAUGAUGAUGAAAAAUAUUCAUUUACGAGUAGGAGGGCCGUGGUGAUAACGUUGAAGGUGUCAGACGUGAGUCUGCCUGGAGUUGUCACUAGUGCAGAUCUUGGUGAUAGUAGCAAAUACUCAAGUGAGAAUCUUGAGAACUAACGUGGAGAAGGGUUCCAUGUGAACAGCAGUUGAACAUGGGUCAGUCGGUCCUAAGGAAGCAGAGAAAUCUGUUGCAACGCCAUAAUAUUUUAUUUUAAAUGGAUACUAUGGACGAUUUUUCCGAAAGGGCAUCGGGUUAAUAUUCCUGAACUCAGCAUGUGAAAGACAUUGUCUUCGGACAUUGAWUGCGGUAACGCUGUCAAACUUGGAAACAUCGGCAAUAGCCCUAGGAAGAGUUGUCUUUUCUCUAUAAAGUUUCGACUCCAUGAAAACAGCUUGUCUGGAGAUAUGGAUGUUGAUGSUGAAGAGCUUUGCGGUUCUUGCAAAGUCUGGUGCGCUGUUGUCGGUCCUUGAAAAUCCAAGAGCGAGUAAUUUACUUUCACACUGAGCCGUACCCAUAUCCGCAGCAGGUCUCCAAGGUUAACAGCCUCUAGUUGAUAGAAUAAUGUAGGUAAGGGAAGUCGGCAAAACUGAUCCGUAACUUCGGGACAAGGAUUGGCUCUGAAGAAUGGGCCAGUCGGGCUGUUGUUUGAAACAGAUGUUUGCACUGUGUCAGGACUGGAUAGGAUCUUUCKGGAUCUCGUCUGGACCUGUGCACGUGUUUGUCUGUGAAUGGCAAUAGCUACGAAUGUGAUUGUUCGCAGUUGUAUUCGUUUCGGCUGGCAUUUAACAUUCGACUCAGAACUGGCACGGACUCCGGGAAUCCGACUGUCUAAUUAAAACAAAGCAUUGCGAUGGCCGGUGAUCGGUGUUGACGCAAUGUGAUUUCUGCC